AAUAAAAUUUUUUUCUCAUAAUUAUUAGAUAGCAACAAAGUGAUAAUGAAGUCCUGAACAGUGAAGGCAUGUUCUCAAAGCAGGGCUCCAAACAGAUGGCAGAGAGGAAGCAUGUUACAAUGGAGGGAAAUUUGCAAUGUUUGAAGCCUGCCCGGAUAUCAGAGUGUGGAUCUCUGAAAGGAAGGGACUGUUCACCAUUGCGAAACAGAUUCCCCAGGAACAUGGAGCUCCCACUCGGCAUACAAGAAAAAGUUCUCAUGGACCUCCUUCACUUUGUCCAUUCUGCUUACACAGCUUCUGAAAUCCAAGAACAACUCCUGUUUGGACUCCAUACUUUGAAGCCAUUCUCUUCUCCAGCCAUGCAUCCCUUUUUCCUCAAGUCAUAUUCACUCCAGCAGAGAAAAGGAGAAUGCCAUUGAAACACAGACCACUCAAGUACCACAGUAUCAUUGGCAUGAGGAAUCUCACGAAACUUGGGUAGGAUGGCAACUGUGGAAUGGAAAGGAAGAAAUGUGAACACAAGGGAAGAAAUGUGAGUUAGAGAUCUACUCAGCUAACAAAGUGUCCGACUGAUGGUGGAGAAUAAGCUAAGGAAAGAUGAUGGCAAUAAAGUUUUCAACAUGGUAACUGAAUAAGUAAAU
rnacentral:lncRNA from 1 species